GAUGAACGCUGGCGGCGUGCCUAAUACAUGCAAGUCGAGCGAACGGACGAGAAGCCUGCUUCUCUGAUGUUAUCGGCGGACGGGUGAGUAACACGUGGAUAACCUACCUAUAAGACUGGGAUAACUUCGGGAAACCGGAGCUAAUACCGGAUAAUAUUUUGAACCGCAUGGUUCAAAAGUGGAAGACGGUCUUGCUGUCACUUAUAGAUGGAUCCGCGCUGCAUUAGCUAGUUGGUAAGGUAACGGCUUACCAAGGCAACGAUGCAUAGCCGACCUGAGAGGGUGAUCGGCCACACUGGAACUGAGACACGGUCCAGACUCCUACGGGAGGCAGCAGUAGGGAAUCUUCCGCAAUGGGCGAAAGCCUGACGGAGCAACGCCGCGUGAGUGAUGAAGGUCUUCGGAUCGUAAAACUCUGUUAUUAGGGAAGAACAUAUGUGUAAGUAACUGUGCACAUCUUGACGGUACCUAAUCAGAAAGCCACGGCUAACUACGUG
rnacentral:rRNA from 1 species